rfam:Egretta garzetta contig60850, whole genome shotgun sequence.
UCUCACUUCGGCAGCAUGCAUACUAAAUUGGAACGAUACGGAGAAGAUUAGCGUGGCCCCUGUGCAAGGAUGACACGCAAAUUCUUGAAGCAUUCCAUGUUUUU